rnacentral:rRNA from 1 species
UAGGGAUUCUUCGGCAAUGGACGAAAGUCUGACCGAGCAACGCCGCGUGAGUGAAGAAGGUUUUCGGAUCGUAAAACUCUGUUGUUAGAGAAGAACAAGGACGUUAGUAACGGAACGUCCCCUGACGGUAUCUAACCAGAAAGCAACGGCUAACUACGUGCAAGCAGCCGCGGUAAUACGUAGGUGGCAAGCGUUGUCCGGAUUUAUUGGGCGUAAAGCGAGCGCAGGCGGUUUCUUAAGUCUGAUGUGAAAGCCCCCGGCUCAACCGGGGAGGGUCAUUGGAAACUGGGAGACUUGAGUGCAGAAGAGGAGAGUGGAAUUCCAUGUGUAGCGGUGAAAUGCGUAGAUAUAUGGAGGAACACCAGUGGCGAAGGCGGCUCUCUGGUCUGUAACUGACGCUGAGGCUCGAAAGCGUGGGGAGCAAACAGG